GAUGAACGCUGGCGGCGUGCCUAACACAUGCAAGUCGAACGGAGAUUACGGACGGAAGUUUUCGGAUGGAAGACUGUAAUUCUUAGUGGCGGACGGGUGAGUAACGCGUGGGCAACCUGCCCUAUACAGGGGGAUAGCAGCUGGAAACGGCUGGUAAGACCGCAUAAGUCGGCGAGACCGCAUGGUUUUGCCGGGAAAUGAGCAAUCAGGUAUAGGAUGGGCCCGCGUCCGAUUAGCCAGUUGGCAGGGUAAAAGCCUACCAAAGCAACGAUCGGUAGCCGGACUGAGAGGUCGGACGGCCACAUUGGGACUGAGACACGGCCCAAACUCCUACGGGAGGCAGCAGUGGGGGAUAUUGCACAAUGGAGGAAACUCUGAUGCAGCGACGCCGCGUGAGUGAAGAAGUAUUUCGGUAUGUAAAGCCCUAUCAGCAGGGAAGAUGAUGACGGUACCUGACUAAGAAGCCCCGGCUAACUACGUG
rnacentral:rRNA from 1 species